rnacentral:rRNA from 1 species
CCUACGGGGGGCAGCAGUGGGGAAUAUUGCACAAUGGGGGAAACCCUGAUGCAGCGACGCCGCGUGAAGGAUGAAGUAUUUCGGUAUGUAAACUUCUAUCAGCAGGGAAGAAAAUGACGGUACCUGACUAAGAAGCCCCGGCUAACUACGUGCCAGCAGCCGCGGUAAUACGUAGGGGGCAAGCGUUAUCCGGAUUUACUGGGUGUAAAGGGAGCGUAGACGGCAUGGCAAGUCUGAUGUGAAAACCCGGGGCUCAACCCCGGGACUGCAUUGGAAACUGUCAGGCUAGAGUGUCGGAGAGGCAAGUGGAAUUCCUAGUGUAGCGGUGAAAUGCGUAGAUAUUAGGAGGAACACCAGUGGCGAAGGCGGCUUGCUGGACGAUGACUGACGUUGAGGCUCGAAAGCGUGGGGAGCAAACAGGAUUAGAUACCCCGGUAG